CGCUUCAGUUCGCACCAUCUGGCGACGCUUCUAGUGACCCUUCGCCUCCCACCACAACCGGCAACACAUUAGUUCGUAUAAUGGGUAUCAGUUUAUGUAGGGGUUGGCACGUGUUAUGUGAAAGUGGAGGAUGAUGACUAAAUACACAUUGUUUGCAACAACUUUGGAUUUUUUCUGAAAGUUGUAAACUUAGCUUGAGCAAAGUUUUUGGUCCCUCAGCUCAACAAAGAGAUCUUUAUGAUCAAACAGUGAUUCCAAUAGUACAUGAAGUUUUAGAAGGCUUCAAUUGUACCAAGAGGAGCGAGCUAGGGACCAAGAGGCACGAGCUAAGCAAGAGGCAUGAGGACAUCUUCCGUUAGUUCUAAUUAUAUUAUGCUAUACUUUUUGUAUUGUUAUAAAACAUCUUGAGUUAUUGUAUGUGUUGCAAACAAUUA